rnacentral:tRNA from 1 species
GGAUGUAGCUCAAUGGUAGAGCAUUUACCUAGCAUGUAUGAAGUCCUGGGUUUAAUCCCCAGUACUACCA